rnacentral:rRNA from 1 species
UGUGUAUCAGUACAUGGCAUAUCAAUAAGCGGAGGAAAAGAAACUAACAAGGAUUCCCUUAGUAACGGCGAGUGAAGCGGGAAGAGCUCAAAUUUGAAAUCUUCAAGGUUUUACCUUGACGAAUUGUAGUUUAAAGAAGUGUUUUCUGUUGGAGUUUUGGUAAAAGUUCUUUGGAAUAGGACAUCAUAGAGGGUGAGAAUCCCGUAUUUGACCAUUUCUUUCAGCUUUGUGAUACACUUUCAAAGAGUCGGAUUGUUUGGGAAUGCAGUCCAAAAUGGGUGGUAAAUUUCAUCUAAAGCUAAAUAUUGGCGAGAGACCGAUAGCGAACAAGUACCGUGAGGGAAAGAUGAAAAGAACUUUGAAAAGAGAGUUAAACAGUACGUGAAAUUGUCAAAAGGGAAGCGUUUGACACCAGUGUUGUUUUCUCGAAAAUCAAUUAAAAAUGAUGGGAUUUUGUGUUGUAUUGACUUUAUCAGCUUUCUGCACUUUUUUCUUAUCUUUUUUAAUGCACUUUUCGUUUAACAAGUCAACAUCAAUUUCUUUUGUUGUAAAAGAGUCAUUGGAAGGUGGCUUUUUCUUCGGAAAAAGUGUUUAUAGCCUUUGGCUUCUGCAAUCGGAGAGAUUGAGGUCUGCAGCGUAGAUCCUUCGGGGUUAGAUACAUUUGUGCUAAGCUAUAGUUCUUUAUAGACAACUUGUUGACUAUAAUCAAUCCUGUAACUUACUCGCUUAUGCUAUUUUACCUACGCUUAGGAUGUUGACAGCAGUAUAGACUGU